AACACUGUUAACCUGCGGUACCUGCGGAAGGAUCAUUACACAAUAAUAUAUGAAGGCUGCUCGCGGCUGGAGUAUUUAUUACCCUUGUCUUUUGCGCACUUGUUGUUUCCUGGGCGGGCUCGCCCGCCACCAGGACCACAUACAAACCUUUUUUAUGUAGUUGCAAUCAGCGUCAGUAUAACAAAUGUAAAUCAUUUACAACUUUUAACAACGGAUCU
rnacentral:misc_RNA from 1 species